rnacentral:rRNA from 1 species
CUCCAGACUCCUACGGGAGGCAGCAGUGGGGAAUAUUGCACAAUGGGGGAAACCCUGAUGCAGCGACGCCGCGUGAGCGAUGAAGUAUUUCGGUAUGUAAAGCUCUAUCAGCAGGGAAGAAAAUGACGGUACCUGACUAAGAAGCCCCGGCUAACUACGUGCCAGCAGCCGCGGUAAUACGUAGGGGGCAAGCGUUAUCCGGAUUUACUGGGUGUAAAGGGAGCGUAGACGGCAAUGCAAGCCAGAUGUGAAAGCCCGGGGCUCAACCCCGGGACUGCAUUUGGAACUGUGUAGCUGGAGUGUCGGAGAGGCAGGCGGAAUUCCUAGUGUAGCGGUGAAAUGCGUAGAUAUUAGGAGGAACACCAGUGGCGAAGGCGGCCUGCUGGACGAUGACUGACGUUGAGGCUCGAAAGCGUGGGGAGCAAACAGGAUUAGAUACCCUGGUA